CCAACUGGGAUUGCCUCAGUAACGGCGAGUGAAGCGGCAGCAGCUCAAAUUUGAAAUCUGGCCCCUCCGGGGUUCGAGUUGUAAUUUGCAGAGGAUGCUCCGGGUGAGGCGGCGGUCUAAGUUCCUUGGAACAGGGCAUCAUGGAGGGUGAGAAUCCCGUAUGUGACCGACCACCUCGCCCGUGUGGGGCUCCUUCGACGAGUCGAGUUGUUUGGGAAUGCAGCUCUAAGUGGGUGGUAAAUUUCAUCUAAAGCUAAAUAUUGACCGGAGUCCGAUAGCGCACAAGUAGAGUGAUCGAAAGAUGAAAAGCACUUUGGAAAGAGAGUCAAACAGUACGUGAAAUUGUUGAAAGGGAAGCGCUGGCAACCAGACUUGCCUCCCGGCGAUCAGCCGUUAUUCUUAACGGUGUACUCGCCUGGAGACAGGCCAGCAUCGGUUCCGGCGGCCGGACACACCCUCCAGGAAUGUAGCUCGCUCCGGGGAGUGUUAUAGCCUGGAGGCACCCGCGGCCUGCCGGGACCGAGGAUCGCGCUCCGGCCCGGGUGCUGGCAUAAUGGUUGUCAGCGGCCCGUCUUGAAACACGGACCAAGGAGUCUAACAUCGAUGCGAGUGUUUGGGCGUCAACCCACACGCGGAAUGAAAGUGAACGGAGGUGGGAGCCCUCCGGGGCGCACCAUCGACCGAUCCAGAUGUUUUCGGAUGGAUUUGAGUAAGAGCAUUCCUGUUAGGACCCGAAAGAUGGUGAACUAUGCCUGGAUAGGGUGAAGCCAGAGGAAACUCUGGUGGAGGCUCGCAGCGGUUCUGACGUGCAAAUCGAUCGUCAAAUUUGGGCAUAGGGGCGAAAGACUAAUCGAACCAUCUAGUAGCUGGUUCACGUCGAAGUUUCCCUCAGGAUAGCAGUAACGUUUUCAGUUUUAUGAGGUAAAGCGAAUGAUUAGAGGCCUUGGGGCUGCAACAGCCUUAACCUAUUCUCAAACUUUAAAUAUGUAAGAAGUCCUUGUUACUCAGUUGAACGUGGACAUUUGAAUGCACCGUUACUAGUGGGCCAUUUUU
rnacentral:rRNA from 1 species